rnacentral:tRNA from 1 species
AAGUUUAGGUUAAGCAGACCAAGGGCCUUCAAAGCC